rnacentral:rRNA from 1 species
UGGCUCAGAUGAAACGCUGGCGGCAUGCCUUACACAUGCAAGUCGAACGGCAGCACGGGAGCAAUCCUGGUGGCGAGUGGCGAACGGGUGAGUAAUGUAUCGGAACGUACCUUUCAGUGGGGGAUAACGUAGCGAAAGUUACGCUAAUACCGCAUAUUCUGUGAGCAGGAAAGCAGGGGAUCUUAGGACCUUGCGCUGAUUGAGCGGCCGAUAUCAGAUUAGCUAGUUGGUGAGGUAAAGGCUCACCAAGGCGACGAUCUGUAGCGGGUCUGAGAGGAUGAUCCGCCACACUGGAACUGAGACACGGUCCAGACUCCUACGGGAGGCAGCAGUGGGGAAUUUUGGACAAUGGGCGCAAGCCUGAUCCAGCCAUGCCGCGUGAGUGAAGAAGGCCUUCGGGUUGUAAAGCUCUUUCGGCCGGGAAGAAAUCGCAUGGGUUAAUACCCUGUGCGGAUGACGGUACCGGCAUAAGAAGCACCGGCUAACUACGUGCCAGCAGCCGCGGUAAUACGUAGGGUGCGAGCGUUAAUCGGAAUUACUGGGCGUAAAGCGUGCGCAGGCGGUUUGUUAAGAUAGGCGUGAAAUCCCCGGGCUCAACCUGGGAACUGCGCUUAUGACUGGCAAGCUAGAGUACGGCAGAGGGGGGUGGAAUUCCACGUGUAGCAGUGAAAUGCGUAGAGAUGUGGAGGAACACCAAUGGCGAAGGCAGCCCCCUGGGUCGAUACUGACGCUCAUGCACGAAAGCGUGGGUAGCAAACAGGAUUAGAUACCCUGGUAGUCCACGCCCUAAACGAUGUCAACUAGGUGUUGGAUGGGUAGAACCAUUUAGUACCGGAGCUAACGCGUGAAGUUGACCGCCUGGGGAGUACCGCCGCAAGGUUAAAACUCAAAG